rnacentral:rRNA from 1 species
UGGGGAAUAUUGGGCAAUGGGCGCAAGCCUGACCCAGCCAUGCCGCGUGAGUGACGACGGCCUUAGGGUUGUAAAGCUCUUUUGGCGGGGACGCGGUACCCGCAGAAUAAGCCCCGGCUAACUUCGUGCCAGCAGCCGCGGUAAUACGAAGGGGGCUAGCGUUGUUCGGAAUCACUGGGCGUAAAGCGCACGUAGGCGGACUUUCAAGUCAGGGGUGAAAUCCCGGGGCUCAACCUCGGAACUGCCUUUGAUACUGUUGGUCUCGAGUCCGAUAGAGGUGGGUGGAAUUCCUAGUGUAGAGGUGAAAUUCGUAGAUAUUAGGAAGAACACCGGUGGCGAAGGCGGCCCACUGGAUCGGUACUGACGCUGAGGUGCGAAAGCGUGGGGAGCAAACAGGAUUAGAUACCCUUGUAGU